AAUGGUCGUAUGAUGAUUUAUUAUGCAUAGUUCAGAUGAAUAUCUGUGAUUACAUUUUUACAUUUAGUAUUUCGCUCCUAUCUGACGACUGAA